CCUACGGGAGGCAGCAGUGAGGAAUAUUGGUCAAUGGGCGGGAGCCUGAACCAGCCAAGUCGCGUGAGGGACGACGGUCCUAUGGAUUGUAAACCUCUUUUGUCGGGGAACAAAGGCGCCCACGGGUGGGCGGAUGAGUGUACCCGAAGAAAAAGCAUCGGCUAACUCCGUGCCAGCAGCCGCGGUAAUACGGAGGAUGCGAGCGUUAUCCGGAUUUAUUGGGUUUAAAGGGUGCGUAGGCGGGCAUUUAAGCCGGCGGUCAAAUGUCGGGGCUCAACCCCGGCCUGCCGUCGGAACUGGGUGCCUUGAGUGGGCGAGAAGUAUGCGGAAUGCGUGGUGUAGCGGUGAAAUGCAUAGAUAUCACGCAGAACCCCGAUUGCGAAGGCAGCAUACCGGCGCCCUACUGACGCUGAGGCACGAAAGUGCGGGUAUCGAACAGGAUUAGAUACCCCUGUAGUC
rnacentral:rRNA from 1 species